GUAAAGCACUUUCAGUCGUGAGGAAGGUGGUAGUGUUAAUAGCACUAUCAUUUGACGUUAGCGACAGAAGAAGCACCGGCUAACUCCGUGCCAGCAGCCGCGGUAAUACGGAGGGUGCGAGCGUUAAUCGGAAUUACUGGGCGUAAAGCGCAUGCAGGUGGUUUGUUAAGUCAGAUGUGAAAGACCCGGGGCGUCAACCUCGGAAUAGCAUUUGAAACUAGGCAAACUAGAGUACUGUAGAGGGGGGUAGGAAUUUCAGGUGUAGCGGUGAAAUAGCGUAGAGAUCUGAAGGAAUACCGGUGGCGAAGGCGGCCCCCUCGGACAGAUACUGACACUCAGAUGCGAAAGCGUGGGGAGCAAACAGGAUUAGAUACCCUGGUAG
rnacentral:rRNA from 1 species